GGGGGCGCUUGGAUUCGACGGGGAGUGUGGGAGCAGGGAUAGCGAGCCGGGUUCUCCGCCAGCCCGUAAAAACGGUGGAAACGGCAUAACUGCCGAACCUGUAGCUCUCGCUGCCUAACCUAGUUUAGACAGCCGUCGGCCCGGUCGCUCCGGCGGACCGGUGACCGGCGUCAUCCAGCCGGAUACCGGAGCUCCAAUUCUCGGAGGAGCCGAGGGAAAACGAUCGAGAUAGCCGAAGGGGCGGUCUGCCGGCCGUCGGCCCCGGAGGCGAAACGGCGAAGCCAUAACGCCGCUCAGCGGAGGGUUGGCUGCAGCAGUAAACGACCGUGCUGCGCUCGGAGAAGUCCCUGCUAAUGCCUCUUCGGACGUGGGUUCGACUCCCACCGCCUCCACCA
rnacentral:tmRNA from 1 species